rnacentral:lncRNA from 1 species
AUUGGUCCAAAAUCUUGUGAAGCCAUUGAUGAACGCAUCGUCGCCGGAAACACGCCGGUGAAGGUAGAUAUGGACUCAGCUGAUGAAGGGCUAUCUGAAUCUGGGGCUAGAAUUUGAAAUGGCCGGAAAAAAAAAAUCCCCGGCGUUUGUCUCGAAAUAAACGCCAGCAAGAGAGAUGAUAAAGCAUUCUUAUGGAGAACUGCAAUGUCAGAAUAUGUACAAUAAAAAAAAUAAGAAGAAAAAUUAUUUGUGAAGAAGAAGUUACAAGAAAAAGAAAGAAAAAAGAAGAAGAAGAAGAGGACGCGGCGUUACAAUAGAAGGAGAAGC